AGGGCGCCGAUCUCGCUCCAUCGCAGCCCAUCAGGCCCACCUUGGCCACGGGCUCAGGAAGCCAGCGCCC
rfam:Ochotona princeps cont2.478516, whole genome shotgun sequence.